rnacentral:rRNA from 1 species
UACGUAGGGAGCGAGCGUUGUCCGGAAUUAUUGGGCGUAAAGAGCCCGUAGGCGGUUUGUCGCGUCUGCUGUGAAAACCCGAGGCUCAACCUCGGGCCUGCAGUGGGUACGGGCAGACUAGAGUGAUGUAGGGGAGACUGGAAUUCCUGGUGUAGCGGUGAAAUGCGCAGAUAUCAGGAGGAACAUCCGUGGCGAAGGCGGCUCUCUGGGACGGUACUGACGCUGAGACGCGAAAGCGUGGGGAGCGAACAGG